rnacentral:rRNA from 1 species
GAUGAACGCUAGCGAUAGGCCUAACACAUGCAAGUCGAGGGGCAUCACAUGAAGUAGCAAUACGGAUGGUGGCGACCGGCGCACGGGUGAGUAACACGUAUGCAACCUGCCUUCAACAAGGGGAUAACCCGUUGAAAGACGGACUAAUACCCUAUAACACAGGGGUCCCGCAUGGGAAUAUUUGUUAAAGGACAACCGGUUGAAGAUGGGCAUGCGUUCCAUUAGCUGGUUGGUGGGGUAACGGCCCACCAAGGCAACGAUGGAUAGGGGAACUGAGAGGUUUAUCCCCCACACUGGUACUGAGACACGGACCAGACUCCUACGGGAGGCAGCAGUGAGGAAUAUUGGUCAAUGGACGCAAGUCUGAACCAGCCACGUCGCGUGAAGGAAGACGGCCCUACGGGUUGUAAACUUCUUUUAUACGGGGAAUAAAGUGCCCCACGCGUGGGGUUUUGCAUGUACCGUAUGAAUAAGGAUCGGCUAACUCCGUG